CCUGGUGGACACCAGCUCUCCUAGGAAAUGGCUGAUGUUGCUGAGGAGGCAGCAGUAUCAAAGCCCUUGUUGAUGAAGGUACAACAAGCUGGGGAGGCUUUGGCAUUUCUGCACAAUGCUGCUCCCUGAUUGUCACUCAAGACUCAGAUUCUGAAAGAAGCAAAGCAAGCUAGAGGAAAACUGUACGUCCGGGAUCCAAAACUCCGUAUUACAGCGGAUCUUCUCCUCUGAUCUGAAAAGCUUCACAGGCCAAAAGAGAAUUGAGAUGACGAAGGAAACAGAGAAUGCUGACCAGUAUUUCCAAUUACCACCCGUAUUAGGUGAAGAAGAACACUGCAACCAGCUGAAGCCGUAUCGGACACAUGCUUCUGCUAGGAAUUCAUUCCGAGUGAUUCCACGGUGUACUUUAGACAGGUUUGCUCUGGUCCUCUGGACUCAGCAUCCCCAAGGGAUAUUUCAAAGCUCUCGGAAGGACCUGUCGUUAUCUCUGACACUGCAGCCUCCAUUAG